rnacentral:rRNA from 1 species
CAGCAGCCACGGGAAUACAGAGGGUGCGAGCGUUAAUCGGAUUUACUGGGCGUAAAGCGUGCGUAGGCGGCUUCUUAAGUCGGAUGUGAAAUCCCUGAGCUUAACUUAGGAAUUGCAUUCGAUACUGGGAAGCUAGAGUAUGGGAGAGGAUGGUAGAAUUCCAGGUGUAGCGGUGAAAUGCGUAGAGAUCUGGAGGAAUACCGAUGGCGAAGGCAGCCAUCUGGCCUAAUACUGACGCUGAGGUACGAAAGCAUGGGGAGCAAACAGGAUUAGAUACCCGAGUAGUCCCUGUCUCUUAUAA